UCAGAUUGGCAGAUUAGGGAUGCUUUUGUAUUGGGUUAAAGAAAAUAUAUUUAAGUAAUUAUAAUUUCACCUAGUUUCUUUCAUUUUUUUCUGUAUGUAAAUACAGGAAGAUAUAACACUGUGCCUGUGGCUCCCAUUCUCUUUUCCCAAGACAGGGGUUUCAGAGCAAAUUCCUCCUGCUCUUCUGGACAUCAUGUGUGCAGACAGUGGAUAAGAAGUGCUGCAGCUGCCUUGCUGUCAGCCUGUGGGUAAAGGCAGCGCAGGAGGAACAGAGCAUGAGGAGACAGAGCCAGCUGCUGAUGUUCAAAGGCCCUCUUCACUCUCAGUUGUGACCCAGUAAGGAUCCUUAUUAUUCUAGCAAGUAUGAGUCAGGAGUUUCUCUUACCUGCUGUUGAAAGCAUCUGUACUUGUCCUUGCCUGAAGGCUUUGUUUCACCAGAGCCUAGGGAGUAGGUGGACUAAGGAANNNGUGUUUAGAGUGGGGAAGAGAAAGCCUGACGUCUCCCAAGUCUGUGGCCAAUCCCCAAAGGUGCCAGCCAAGAAGCAAGGAUUUGGCCUCUUUGAGACAAGACAUAAAGGUGUUUCAAAUCAAGAUAUGAACAGUCAGCAAUGCUGUAGAGCCAGCAGUCCCUUGGUGAGAAUAAGUUCCUGAAAGCGUGUGCAGGGCAAACACAGAGCACAGCCUCCUGGCUUUGGCACCUCUCCAUCAACAUCUACAGGAAAGAUGAGGCUUAGACAACCUGAACAGAGCGAAUGAUUGUGCCAGUAGCUUCCCUCUGU
rnacentral:lncRNA from 1 species